CAAAAAAUAGUUUAAUAAGAAAUGCUAGCUUUGGGGGCUAGCGGUGGGAGUUUAAGUCUCUCUUUUUUGG
rnacentral:tRNA from 1 species